AUUGAACGCUGGCGGCAGGCCUAACACAUGCAAGUCGAGCGGAUGAAGGGAGCUUGCUCCUGGAUUCAGCGGCGGACUGGUGAGUAAUGCCUAGGAAUCUGCCUGGUAGUGGGGGAUAACGUCCGGAAACGGGCGCUAAUACCGCAUACGUCCUGAGGGAGAAAGUGGGGGAUCUUCGGACCUCACGCUAUCAGAUGAGCCUAGGUCGGAUUAGCUAGUUGGUGGGGUAAAGGCCUACCAAGGCGACGAUCCGUAACUGGUCUGAGAGGAUGAUCAGUCACACUAGAACUGAGACACGGUCCAGACUCCUACGGGAGGCAGCAGUGGGGAAUAUUGGACAAUGGGCGAAAGCAUGAUCCAGCCAUGCCGCGUGUGUGAAGAAGGUCUUCGGAUUGUAAAGCACUUUAAGUUGGGAGGAAGGGCAGUAAGUUAAUACCUUGCUGUUUUGACGUUACCAACAGAAUGAGCACCGGCUAACUUCGU
rnacentral:rRNA from 1 species